rnacentral:rRNA from 1 species
UACGAAGGGGGCUAGCGUUGCUCGGAAUCACUGGGCGUAAAGGGUGCGUAGGCGGGUCUUUAAGUCAGGGGUGAAAUCCUGGAGCUCAACUCCAGAACUGCCUUUGAUACUGAGGAUCUUGAGUUCGGGAGAGGUGAGUGGAACUGCGAGUGUAGAGGUGAAAUUCGUAGAUAUUCGCAAGAACACCAGUGGCGAAGGCGGCUCACUGGCCCGGUACUGACGCUGAGGUGCGAAAGCGUGGGGAGCAAACAGGGAUUAA